rnacentral:misc_RNA from 1 species
GCGGUCAUAUCAACGCAUAAUGUAGUCCCAUAGCGACGAAAUAGUACUUUUAAAUUCAAUAAUAUACCAGUUUAAAGUUUAGUGUAUAGUUACUUAGUGUUCUCGGCACGAAAUGCAAAAAGUAUACGACGAGCAGUUUAUGGUUACAACUUAUUUAUUUCUGUAUUGAAAUACGAUUUAAAAUUAGUUUUACUUGUUAUACAAAAUUGAACGUUUAUUUGUGUUUUAUUCUACUACUUUAUCACAUAAAUAGCUAAAGUGUUUGAAACUCUUUUUAUAAGUACGUAUUAUACAUGAAAUGAAGAAAUUUAAUAAAAUGUGAAGUGCUUCCCCGAAACAGAAAUAGCCUGAAAAACUUUUCAAUAGACACGUUAAGUUUUUGUUACUUUCGGGACGACAGCAGAGUGACGUGACCGGUCAUUACUGAAAGGGUACGAAGUUCGACGACCGAGCAAAUGGGCAAAGAAUUUGGAUCGUGCACUUAAAAGACCUGGUAGCGUAUAGUAUUGCUUAUACUUUGUAUACAAAGUAAGUGCUAGUGAAUAAAUCGAAGCUAAUUGAAAUUUCAACAAAC